rnacentral:lncRNA from 1 species
AGCCCCCCAUUCUCUAAAGCUCUCAGUCAGGGGUGUUCCUCGGUUUCGGAUGAAAUCGGGGCGGGUUGACAAUACUUCACACGCCUUGGGCGCGUUGUUGCAGUCUGUUAGAUUUGAAGAACUGCCGUGUUUCAUUCCUGAGGAAUUUUGUCUUUGCUCGGUGUAGUGCCUGUCCGUUGAGCCACACUUCUCAGUAAUAAUUCAAGCUCUGAAAAUUCCGAACUUGAUUCAGCAUUCGUCUCUUCCGUUUCCCCCCAAAUUUUAAACUUGCUGUGGUGGUCUACUUUCCUUGGUUGAUGCCUGAAUUGGGUCCUCGAUUGGGCUAUAAUAUAUACAUCUGGAACUGCAAUGAACGGCUGACUGGUUGGCCACGUUGAAAAGCGUAGUGCUAGUGUGCGGCAGAUCGGCUGGCCACGUGGCAGAAGCGGAGAUUUACGUUUGUGCCACUUAUCCCCAUGAGAAUCGUCUCUUAUCUCCUCUCGUUUCCCUCGCGACGAAACAUGCAUCGGCGUCUACGUGCGUGGGGUAUUAGAUAGUGUCUCGCUCGAGAUCACAUCCUCACGGCCGCAGCGUCAACAAUGUCACCGUCGUCGUCGCUCUACUCCGGCCGUCUCCUCUCCUCCCGCCCGGCGUCCAAGGGGCUCGUACGUCGUCUCCUCAAUCACGAUGGGAGCAGGUGGGUCAGGCCGUCGUGCUCCCUGUCUAUGAACGGCUGCGCGGCCGGCGUGGGCGCGGUGACCAUGCACGAGACGCGGGUCCUGCCGGCCGCGUCGGCGCCGCAGGAGGCCGUCGGGCAGCUCAGGGCCGCCGUCGCCGCGCUCAACGCCGACCCGCCGGUGUCCUCCUCCGGCAUCAUCCGCAUCGAGGUAGCAAAAGCACAUGGUCUUCAAUGGCGAACUGCGUUUGAUCGUAUUCGUAUCUGGAUAAAAUGGGACGCGCGCGCACGCAGGUGCCGAUUCGGCAGCGAGGGGACGCCAUCGAGUGGCUGCACGCGCAGAGGCAGAGCUCCCUGCCCCGCUGCUUCUUCUCCGCCCGGGCGCCGCUGCCGGACACUCCGGCCCUCGCCGUGGGCAUCAGCAGCAACGGCAACGGCAGCCACAAGGAGCAGUGGGAGCAGCCGGUAAGCGUCGCCGGCGUGGGGUCGGCGGUCUUCUUCCGCGGCACGGACCCCUUCUCCCUCCGCGACUGGCGAGCCAUCAAGAGGUACGCAAAAACUCACUACCUACUCGAUCAGCUACUAUGUUUUUUCUGAAUUGGAUGAACUAUGAUAAAGCUUGGCUUAGAGUGCGUUUACGACGCUGUUCCUCCUCUUCUUUGUCCGUGAAGAUUUCUUUCAAGGGACUGCCCGCUGAUCCGCGCCUACGGCGCCAUCCGUUUCGACGCGUCGAGCGACGCCUCGGUCGAAUGGGAAGACUACGGCGCAUUCUACUUCGUCGUUCCACAAGUAAGUCGAUCCGCAACUGGUGACAGUUUCAUUCUGCAUGAUGAAUGCAAUGUGCAUGUGUACUGCCUUAUUUCAAGUGUGUGUGAUGUAAAAAUGUACUGCAUUGCAGGUUGAGUUCAGCGAGCUCGAGGAGGGCUCGGUUCUCGCGACGACGAUUGCGUGGGACGACUCCCUUUCUUGGACAUGGCAGAGCGCUGUGGAGGAGCUUCAAUCGACAUUGCACGAGGCAUGGCAUUUUGUUUCCCUGCAUUCUCAUGUGGAAGAUAGUAAGUUAGCAACCGCUAAUUUGAACUUGUAUGCAGAUAUCACCCUGUUCAGUUAAGGUGAACAGGUCCACCCUGCAAACCGCCAUCGUAAAUCUCAAUCAUGUCCCCACCAAGGCGUCCUGGGAUCUUGCUGUUACUCAAGCUCUUCGGAUGAUCAAAGGGAGCCAGACGGAAUUAGUCAAGGUAAACCAUUCAUCGCGUCACUGUCUGCCAAAACAAAAACUAGACGAGUAAUUUUCUUUACCUGUCUUUUUGUGAGUAUAGAGAGGUUUAGUUCAACCAAUCUCUUCCAAUCCUGAUAUUUGUAUGAAUGCUAGAAUUUUUCAGUUAGUUACUAAAAAAACACUUAUUUUCCAUUUUUGUUUUCGACAUAUAUUGAACUUGCCAAUGAACUAUUUCUGCAGGUUGUGCUGGCAAGGUGCAGCAGGUACAUCACUGAUACUUGCAUCGACCCUCUGGAGCUGUUAGCUUGUCUGAAGGUAUGUCGUAUUAUUGUCCUCUCCCUUCAUGAUGUACUCAUAUCAUCUUGUUUACGAGAAGAUCAUUCUGCGACUCUUGUAUGUAUAGGUUGAGGGCCAGAAUGCCUACCAGUUCUGCAUACAGCCACCCGAUGCUCCUGCAUUUGUUGGAAAUAGUGUAUGUCUUCUGCGAUGCACUUUCUUUUCUUCCUGAUAUACCUGACCUUCAGAGUCCUGUUUAGAAACAGGUCUUACUUAUGCCUUGUGCAUUGUUUAUCUCUAUAUUUGCUCUAGCACUGUUAAAUAACUCUCUUCUAACUAUUGCUAAUUUCAUCCAAACAUUCUGAAUAGCCAGAGCAACUAUUUCACCGGAAAUACUUGAACAUUUCCAGCGAGGCUUUAGCCGGUACGCGAGCAAGAGGGAAAACAAGGGCUGAUGAUUUUCAAAUUGGCCAGGAAUUGCUUCUAAGGUUUGUUUCCCCUCUUUGUGCUUGUAAUCAUAAGAUUGACAUAUUUCUGAAAUUUUACGGAGAUAUCGGCACCUUGUACGAAGACCAGACUGGUCAGUAAUGUAAAUAAUUCUUGCAGCAUCAAAGAGGACACUGAAUUUACUAUAGUACGGGAAAGCAUAAAGAAGAAGCUUGAGGCAAGUUAAGUUUCAGAGUCCAAUUUCAGAUAUGAUCCUGGACUAGUUUGCGUUGCUCUUGGUACUCAGCAGUAAUGCUUUUCAGAAAACAAAAUAUGGUGACUGUAAUUUUUGCUGAACCAGUGGAUCUGAUCUAAUCUGCAGAUGAUCUGUGAUGAGGUUGUUGUCAAUCCCAGUAAGGCCCUUCGGAAACUUCCAAGAGUACAACAUUUGUCAGCUCAAUUAGCUGCAAGAUUAAGAAAUGAGGACGACGAGGUAAUCUGUGGUUUGAACAUUCUCUGUCACUUGGACAUGUAGGUAUCAUUUGAAUUUUCUUUUGCCCUGGAUUGUUGGAGACAUCGACUAGUGUUCAUAUAAUAGACUUGAUACUUCGUGCUGGUAUUUGCAGUUUGACAUCCUAAAUGCUCUUCAUCCAAGCCCAGCUGUUUGUGGUUUGCCCACUGAAGAAGCGCGCCAAUUCAUACGAGAUUAUGGUGUGUGCCUGUAUUCUGGCUGAAAUGUUAUCUAUGAACGCAUAUGCACUAUUGUGUUCUGUAUUUAGUACGCAACCUAUUGAUGGUGAUCUCUGAAUGCUAUUUUCUGAUGUUGCUGCAGAAAUUUUCGACCGUGGAAUGUACGCUGGACCUGUUGGUUGGUUUGGUGGAGCUGAAAGUGAGUUUGCUGUUGGAAUUAGAUCAGCACUACUUGGAAAAGUAAAUAAAACACAUGUCAUCAAUAUUUGUGUAAACCUUACCUUCUUAACCUAUCCUAAUUUAGAAGCAUAAGUCACCUAGCUGUCUUGUCCAGGGAUAUAGCACUUUAGUUUAUGCCGGUGCCGGGAUUGUCGAAGGUACAAAUCCAUCUUUUGAAUGGGAUGAGCUUGAUCUCAAAGCAUCUCAGGUAGUCUCUGUCCAAUGUCAUGACUGUUAUUACUGACUUCUAUUUGAAAUGCUAACACGUUAGAUCUUACGACUAUUUUCAGUUUGCAAAGUUGUUGCAGUAUCAAGAACAUCAUAUUUGCUACCAAGAGGCAGGAAACAUGGGGACAUUGAUUUGAACUGUAACUAGUAAGUCAUCAGAGAUUACAAUGCUUAGAAAGAGGUGGGAAAUUACGUUAUCUCAAUUAUAUAGAAUGUCUACAACUUCAGUUUGUAUCUGACAUUGGAAUGCCCGAUGUGUUUAUUUUGAACUCCUUCUACAGGGAAGUUUUGAUUUGGUGGGAAGAUUCCAAAUGGAGUUCAUAUCUGUUUGUGUGCGUGCGUUGUAAACUUCGAAAGAUUUCAGCCUGAUUUGCAUGGCUCUUGAAGAUGCAAUCACAGAAAUAUCGAAAUAUCGAUUCGAGGAGAUGACAGUGAUGAUAGUCGUGGAGCGUACAAAAGAUUAAAUAAAAGCAUAUUAAAUAAUUAUGUACAAUGAUUGUAACAAGUCAGUUUAGUGCAAAGUGUAUAUUACACGAUGAGUUUUUUUAUCCACGCACCCCAGGGAUGGGGAUGGGCAUCGGGAUGGUGUCACGGGUGUGUGGAUCAUAUUAUAGCAAAUCUCAACUGGGUAUUCCCCAUUGUCACUUUGAGUCUAGAUGGACCACAAUCUGAGUACUACUAUUAUUGACUCCCUCGCACGGUCUUCUUGUUCAUCAAAUGGAUGUUAAGAUAACUUUCCUAAAUGGAGAGUCAGAGAAGAAAAUUUACAUGGAACAAAAGAUGGAUUUGUAGUAUCGGGUCAGGAAAGGAAGAUCUGCAAUUUACUGAAAUCUUUGCAUGGCCUAAAACUAGCACAUAAGCAAUGACACCAGAAAUUUAUCAAAACUUUAAAUUUCAUAGACUUUGUUGUCAAUGAAGACAAAAAAUGUGUUUGCUACCGUUAUGGUGGAGGCAAGGGAGUGAUCAUUUGCUUGUACGUUGAUGCAUACUAAUCUUUAGCACCAGGGGAUCUGUGAAGUAGGACCUCGGAAAACAAACCUUUGCAGUUGGAGAGAACAUUUCCUAAAAUCACUCAUUUGAACAUGUAGUUCUCUCACGGAUAUAGUAAGGCGGACUUAUUAUUCUUAAUGUGCUCUAUUACUUGUGUACGCGAAGAUGUUGCCUUACAGGACUGUCUUUGAAAAAACAAACCUUUAUGAGCUAGUUGCCGGUCACACUCUAUGAUAUUAGGUAAUAUCUAGUAAGCUCAUGAAAGGCCAGGAGUACGACUUAUGUUGCUGGUCACACUCUAUUUCAAAUGGAGUACACGUUCACUCACUAACUCGACUUACCACGCCACACAUGGUGCGCACGUCGUGUUUCACGAGUCAAAUUCGAGUUUGAGCUAAGAGCAGUUUUAACAUGCUCCCUCUUACGUCAUCUUUUCACAUGAGAGGUAAGAGUACAUAUUAGAUCUGAGCCGUUGAUCUCAUUAAUUAGUGAUCCGAUUAACUCUUACCUUCUUACCGCACAUGUAAAAAGAAGGGGUAAGAGGGAGCAUGUUAAAUUUUGCCUUGAGCUAAUAUUAUGCACUAUGUUUGAAGAACUAAAAUUUUGCUUGGCAGUGCAUUGCUAAGGAAGCUUCGGGUGUACAUGUCAACACUCAGCUCGUUGUGGGCACAUUUUUUUGCUUUCAGAGAUUUCUUCCGCCAUGUGUUAGUUGCAUCUCCCCAGUCUUCCAUGCAUUGAAGGUCAGAACUACCAAAUCAUCAUAACGGUAAUCUAAUGCAAUAUGACCAAACAACAUAAACUGGUUGGUCUAUUCAACUUGAUAUUCCAACCAUUUUAGAUAUGGAAAGCUAUUUCCAAAUUCUUGAUAAGGAAAGGUAGUACGUAUGUGUACCUUGGCCAUUUGUCCUGUCUAAGAAAGCAUGUAGUUUCAAUGUUGUUCUGUAAUACAUCAUUCCAUGAACAAACAUUACAGUUGUAUUAGGGCAAACUCACUGCCGGUUGCUUGAAAACCCUUGUCAAGACCGAGUUCUAUCACCAUAGGCAACCUCGUAAGCUAGUGGCGGAGCUACAUGCAUUGUUGAGGGGGAGGGGGCCAAUGCCCCCCCACCCUAGGAUAUUUAGUGAAUAAAAAAGUAGAGGCUUAGAUUAAUAAGAUUGUAGUCAUCCUCCCCCCCCCCCCAAAGAUUUAUAUUUUCUCUUUUCCUCCCCCUUGUUUAUCUCCUAGCUUUGCCCCUGACGGAAGCAAUCCAAUUUGGACGAAUGACUGGGAUGCAAGGGAACUUUCUAACGACUUCAUAUUCUUAGCCUUUGCUUUCAGUAGGAUACCUUCAUGUAGCCCACCAAGGACCAAAUACAACUGCCCACAGAGGAAAAAUAUAAACACCUUUGAUAACUGCAUAAAAUAUGGACCCGUUAGAAUAAUAGGACUCGUCAUUGGUACUAAACAAAAAAUACUUCCACAAAAAAGAUUGGAUUUGACCAAGGUGAAGUUACAAUGCAAGCGUGCAAGAGAGAGAGAGAGAGGGAUGGAGAAAACAUAUUAGGCCAUUGAACUAGAGCUCCACUGCGAUGAAAUAACAGAAGAACAUCCGACGAUGAUCAGUCCUUGCCCUAGGCGGUAUAUUUCACGCCUGACUGUCUGUUCACCAUUGCCAUUUCCUUUGGCUUCAACUAUUGAUAUCCGAUUAAGACUAACAUCAUGCCCUUUGCCAAUCUUAUUAACCCUUGUCAAGACCGAGUUCUAUCACCAUAGGCAACCUCUAAGCCAGUGGCGGAGGUACAUGCAUUGUUGAGGGGGAGAGGGCCAAUGCCCCCCCCCCCCCAGGAUAUUUAGUGAAUAAAAAAGUAGAGGCUUAGAUUAAUAANNNNNNNNNNNNNNNNNNNNNNNNNNNNNNNNNNNNNNNNNNNNNNNNNNNNNNNNNNNNNNNNNNNNNNNNNNNNNNNNNNNNNNNNNNNNNUGCCUCCCCCCUUGUUUCUCUCCUAGCUUUGCCCCUGAUGGAAGCAAUCCAAUUUGGAUGAAAGAUUGGGAUGCAAGGGAACUUUCUAACGACAUCAUAUUCUUAGCCUUUGCUUUAAGUAGGAUACUUUCAUGUAGCCCACUAAGGACCAAAUACAACUGCCCACAGAGGAAAAUAUAAACACCUUCGAUAACUGCAUAAAAUAUGGACCCGUUAGAAUAAUAGGACUCGUCAUUGGUACUAAACAAAAAAAAACA